UAGGGAAUCUUCCGCAAUGGGCGAAAGCCUGACGGAGCAACGCCGCGUGAGUGAUGAAGGUCUUCGGAUCGUAAAACUCUGUUAUUAGGGAAGAACAAAUGUGUAAGUAACUAUGCACGUCUUGACGGUACCUAAUCAGAAAGCCACGGCUAACUACGUGCCAGCAGCCUCGGUAAUACGUAGGUGGCAAGCGUUAUCCGGAAUUAUUGGGCGUAAAGCGCGCGUAGGCGGUUUUUUAAGUCUGAUGUGAAAGCCCACGGCUCAACCGUGGAGGGUCAUUGGAAACUGGAAAACUUGAGUGCAGAAGAGGAAAGUGGAAUUCCAUGUGUAGCGGUGAAAUGCGCAGAGAUAUGGAGGAACACCAGUGGCGAAGGCGACUUUCUGGUCUGUAACUGACGCUGAUGUGCGAAAGCGUGGGGAUCAAACAGG
rnacentral:rRNA from 1 species